rnacentral:rRNA from 1 species
AUUGAACGCUGGCGGCAUGCCUUACACAUGCAAGUCGAACGGCAGCACGGGAGCAAUCCUGGUGGCGAGUGGCGAACGGGUGAGUAAUAUAUCGGAACGUGCCCAGUCGUGGGGGAUAACGCAGCGAAAGCUGUGCUAAUACCGCAUACGAUCUAAGGACGAAAGCGGGGGAUCGCAAGACCUCGCGCGAUUGGAGCGGCCGAUAUCAGAUUAGCUAGUUGGUGGGGUAAAGGCCCACCAAGGCGACGAUCUGUAGCUGGUCUGAGAGGACGACCGGCCACACUGGAACUGAGACACGGUCCAGACUCCUACGGGAGGCAGCAGUGGGGAAUUUUGGACAAUGGGCGCAAGCCUGAUCCAGCAAUGCCGCGUGCAGGAUGAAGGCCUUCGGGUUGUAAACUGCUUUUGUACGGAACGAAACGGCCCUUUCUAAUACAGGGGGCUAAUGACGGUACCGUAAGAAUAAGCACCGGCUAACUACGUGCCAGCCGCCGCGGUAAUAC